rnacentral:rRNA from 1 species
AAUUGAUCUGGUUCAGGAUGAACGCUAGCGGCAGGCUAACACAUGCAAGUCGAGGGGCAGCGCGAGUAGCAAUACUUGGCGGCGACCGGCGCAAGGGUGCGUAACGCGUGAGCAACAUGCCCGUAUCAGGGGGAUAAUCCAGGGAAACUUCGGUCUAAUACCCCAUAGUAAUUUUGUAAGGCAUCUUAUAAGAUUUAAAGCUUUGGUGGAUACGGAUUGGCUCGCGUGACAUUAGCUGGAUGGUAAGGUAACGGCUUACCAUGGCUAUGAUGUCUAGGGGUUCGUGAGAGGAAGGUCCCCCACCACUGGAACUGAGACACGGUCCAGACUCCUACGGGAGGCAGCAGUGAGGAAUAUUGGACAAUGGAUGGAAAUCUGAUCCAGCCAUGCCGCGUGAAAGGAAGAAGGUCCUAUGGAUUGUAAACUUCUUUUGUAUGGGAGCAAUAAGGCCUACGAGUAAGUUGAUGAGAGUACCAUACGAAUAAGCACCGGCUAACUCCGUGCCAGCAGCCGC